AUUGAACGCUGGCGGCAGGCCUAACACAUGCAAGUCGAGCGGAUGAAGGGAGCUUGCUCCUGGAUUCAGCGGCGGACGGGUGAGUAAUGCCUAGGAAUCUGCCUGGUAGUGGGGGAUAACGUCCGGAAACGGGCGCUAAUACCGCAUACGUCCUGAGUGAGAAAGUGGGGGAUCUUCGGACCUCCCGCUAUCAGAUGAGCCUAGGUCGGAUUAGCUAGUUGGUGGGGUAAAGGCCUACCAAGGCGACGAUCCGUAACUGGUCUGAGAGGCUGAUCAGUCACACUGGAACUGAGACACGGUCCAGACUCCUACGGGAGGCAGCAGUGGGGAAUAUUGGACAAUGGGCGAAAGCCUGAUCCAGCCAUGCCGCGUGUGUGAAGAAGGUCUUCGGAUUGUAAAGCACUUUAAGUUGGGAGGAAGGGCAGUAAGUUAAUACCUUGCUGUUUUGACGUUACCAACAGAAUAAGCACCGGCUAACUUCGUG
rnacentral:rRNA from 1 species